rnacentral:misc_RNA from 1 species
UUUCCGUAGGUGAACCUGCGGAAGGAUCAUUAAAGAGUAUAGAGGCUUCAUGCCUACUAACUCCACCCUUUGUUUACAUACCUUUGUUGCUUUGGCAGGCCCGUCGAAAGACAACCGGCUCCGGCUGGUCAGUGCCUGCCAGAGGACCUAAACUCUUGUUUAAUCAUAUUGUCUGAGUACUAUAUAAUAGUUAAAACUUUCAACAACGGAUCUCUUGGUUCUGGCAUCGAUGAAGAACGCAGC